CACUAACUCCAAUCCUCAGGCCUCAGCCUCCAGGACUAGAGUCCCCACCUCCCCUGGAGCAGAUGCCGGGAGCUCUUUGAAAUCCUGAGUCUGGGACUGGGCAUUCCAACAGCAACUCCUUGGGUGCGGAUCUUGGAAAGGCCUCUUCAAAACUGUCUCGGCCGGGGCCCCGACGACAGGCUAGUGGAGGUUUGCAGGACGCCAAAAACAUCUCCAGUGCUCCAGGAGGAGCAGCCAAUGGAAGCUGCGGCUGAGACCCCUCCCACUCCCCACCAUGGGCAUCCAGGUCUCCUGCCUCCCUCCCCCCUGGCAUGCCUGGCACAGAAGUGAGGACCUGGCGGCUGGCUUCAGGGUCUGCAGAACCCUCUCCGUCUGCCUUGUGGUUCCCAAACGGAGCCUCAGCCCAUCCAAAGAUGGCCUGGAGACAGCUGCUUCUCGCCUGCUGUCUCUCAGCUGCUGUGCUCCUCACUAUGCUGCAGGAGGGCGCUGGUGCAUCGGUGGGCACCCAGCAGGAGGCAGGACAAGACGUUCGGGAAGAUGUGGAACAGAAGAUCUUCAUGCAGGAAUCAGAUGCUUCAAAUUUCCUCAAGAGGCGUGGCAAGCGGUCCCCAAAAUCCCAAGAUGAGGUCAACGCGGAGAACAGGCAGAAGCUGCGGGCCAAUGAGCUUCGGAGAGAGUACUACGAGGAACAAAGGAACGAGUUUGAGAACUUCGUGGAGGAGCAAAAUGAUGAACAGGAAGAGAGAAGCCGGGAAGCUAUUGAGCAAUGGCGCCAGUGGCAUUACGACGGCCUGCAUCCAUCAUAUCUCUAUAACCGCCACCACAUCUGACCUCAUUUUGACAGAGCAGGAAGAUGGAGCUUGAAACUCACAAACCUACCCCAGAUGAUUUUCUGAGGUGAGCAAACACCUGCGGGGCCUCCUGGCACCAAACCUUCAGUGACGUCCCC